AGUUGUUGCAGUUAAAAGCUCGUAGUUGGAUUUCGGGUGGGUUUCAGCGGUCCGCCUAUGGUGAGUACUGCUGUGGCCUUCCUUACUGUCGGGGACCUGCUUCUGGGCUUCAUUGUCCGGGACAGGGAUUCGGCAUGGUUACUUUGAGUAAAUUAGAGUGUUCAAAGCAGGCUUACGCCGUGAAUACUUUAGCAUGGAAUAACAUGAUAGGACUCUGCCCUAUUCUGUUGGCCUGUAGGAGUGGAGUAAUGAUUAAGAGGAACAGUCGGGGGCAUUCGUAUUUCAUUGUCAGAGGUGAAAUUCUUGGAUUUAUGAAAGACGAACUACUGCGAAAGCAUUUGCCAAGGAUGUUUUCAUUAAUCAAGAACGAAAGUUGGGGGCUCGAAGACGAUUAGAUACCGUCGUAGUCUCAACCAUAAACGAUGCCGACUAGGGAUUGGCGGACGUUUUUGCAUGACUCCGUCAGCACCUUGAGAGAAAUCAAAGUUUUUGGGUUCCGGGGGGAGUAUGGUCGCAAGGCUGAAACUUAAAGGAAUUGACGGAAGGCGCACCACCAGGCGUUGAGUAUUGGCUCUAGCGCCUAAAAGUUUCCCUGAAAGGGGAGGCUAGUCGGUAGUGGCUCGCUACUGGUGAGAGCUGCUAUUCGGCUACACUGUCGAAUUGCGGGAAGUUCCUUAGAGCUCAAGCUACCAAGCUAGGGUGGAAACACACCUAGUGGCCAGGGUAAUGACCUCGGGUACGGUAAAAACGCUUGAGAUUGGAUAAUCCGCAGCCAAGCUCCUAAGGGCAGCAAUGCCUAUGGAGAAGGUUCAGAGACUAAGUGGCAGUGGGCUGAUUGCUGUUGCAAUUGGCUUAAGAUAGAGUCCGUCCCUACCGAGAGGUAGCUCUGAGAGGAAAGGCCUAACCAGCCCGGAGCUCAGAGAGCUUGUGCAUAUGCACAAGUGGGGUGAAACGGGAGCCUGCGGCUUAAUUUGACGGAAAACUUACCAGGUCCAGACAUAGGAAGGAUUGACAGAUUGAGAGCUCUUUCUUGAUUCUAUGGGUGGUGGUGCAUGGCCGUUCUUAGUUGGUGGGUUGUCUUGUCAGGUUGAUUCCGGUAACGAACGAGACCUCAGCCUUUAAAUAGUCACAGUCGCUUUUUGCGGCUGGCUUUUGACUUCUUAGAGGGACAGUUGGCGUUAGUCAACG
rnacentral:rRNA from 1 species